rnacentral:rRNA from 1 species
GGGGCAGCAUGGUCUUAGCUUGCUAAGGCCGAUGGCGACCGGCGCACGGGUGAGUAACACGUAUCCAACCUGCCGUCUACUCUUGGACAGCCUUCUGAAAGGAAGAUUAAUACAAGAUGGCAUCAUGAGUCCGCAUGUUCACAUGAUUAAAGGUAUUCCGGUAGACGAUGGGGAUGCGUUCCAUUAGAUAGUAGGCGGGGUAACGGCCCACCUAGUCUUCGAUGGAUAGGGGUUCUGAGAGGAAGGUCCCCCACAUUGGAACUGAGACACGGUCCAAACUCCUACGGGAGGCAGCAGUGAGGAAUAUUGGUCGAUGGGCGCAGGCCUGAACCAGCCAAGUAGCGUGAAGGAUGACUGCCCUAUGGGUUGUAAACUUCUUUUAUAAAGGAAUAAAGUCGGGUAUGUAUACCCGUUUGCAUGUACUUUAUGAAUAAGGAUCGGCUAACUCCGUGCCAGCAGCCGCGGUAAUACGGAGGAUCCGAGCGUUAUCCGGAUUUAUUGGGUUUAAAGGGAGCGUAGAUGGAUGUUUAAGUCAGUUGUGAAAGUUUGCGGCUCAACCGUAAAAUUGCAGUUGAUACUGGAUAUCUUGAGUGCAGUUGAGGCAGGCGGAAUUCGUGGUGUAGCGGUGAAAUGCUUAGAUAUCACGAAGAACUCCGAUUGCGAAGGCAGCCUGCUAAGCUGCAACUGACA